rnacentral:rRNA from 1 species
CCUACGGGUGGCAGCAGUGAGGAAUAUUGGUCAAUGGACGAGAGUCUGAACCAGCCAAGUAGCGUGAAGGAUGACGGCCCUAUGGGUUGUAAACUUCUUUUAUAGGGGAAAAAAACAGGGAAUGCAUACCAUCUGGUAUGUACCAAAUGAAUAAGGAUCGGCUAACGCCGUGCAAGCAGCCGCGGUAAUACGGAGGAUCCGAGCGUUAGCCGGAUUGAUUGGGUUUAAAGGGAGCGUAGGUGGCUUGUUAAGGCAGUUGUGAAAGUUUGCGGCUCAACCGUAAAAUUGCAGUUGAAACUGGCAGUCUUGAGUACCGUAGAGGUGGGCGGAAUUCGUGGUGUAGCGG